rnacentral:tmRNA from 1 species
GGGGAUGAUCGGUUUCGACAUUGCCUGCGAGACGAAGAGAAGCGGGUCGAGGAUGCAGAGUUAUCUCGUUAACGAUCUCUGUAACCAACAGGUGCCGAUUCCAAGCGCACCGACUUCGCUCUCGCCGCCUAAGGCAGAGUAGAUAGUCCGUCAGCCCGGGUACGUCUCCGCCCCGGUCGCUGGCGUCAUUGAGGAGACUUGCUGCGUGCCUGCGUCUCAGGAGCACGUGGGACUUCAACUGAGGCUGGGCUCGUCGACCUAGGUGUCUGCGACAAAGGUCGGAGCCGAGUAGAACGCUUUCCGCAGACUACGCCCGUAGAAGACUUCGAAUCACAGCAGUGGACGGGGGUUCAAUUCCCCCCAUCUCCACCA